AGCAGCCGCGGUAAUUCCAGCUCCAAUAGCGUAUAUUAAAGUUGUUGCAGUUAAAAGCUCGUAGUUGAAUUUCGGGAUCAGAUUGUCGGUCGUGCCUCGGUACGCACUGGCAUUAUUGGUUCCUACCUUCUGAAGAACCGCGAUGUCAUUAAUUUGGUGUCGCGGGGAAUCAGGACUGUUACUUUGAAAAAUUAGAGUGUUUAAAGCAGGCUUACGCUUGAAUACAUUAGCAUGGAAUAAUGAAAUAGGACGUUUGAUUCUAUUUUGUUGGUUUCUAGGAUCGACGUAAUGAUUAAUAGGGAUAGUUGGGGGCAUUAGUAUUCAAUUGUCAGAGGUGAAAUUCUUGGAUUUAUUGAAGACUAACUACUGCGAAAGCAUUUGCCAAGGAUGUUUUCUAUUAAUCAAGAACGAAAGUUAGGGGAUCGAAGACGAUCAGAUACCGUCGUAGUCUUAACCAUAAACUAUGCCGACUAGGGGAUCGGAUGAUGUUAAUUUUAUUAAUGACUCAUUCGGCGUCCG
rnacentral:rRNA from 1 species